rnacentral:rRNA from 1 species
GUGGGGAAUUUUGGACAAUGGGCGCAAGCCUGAUCCAGCAAUGCCGCGUGCAGGAAGAAGGCCUUCGGGUUGUAAACUGCUUUUGUACGGAACGAAACGGUCCUGGCUAAUACCUGGGGCUAAUGACGGUACCGUAAGAAUAAGCACCGGCUAACUACGUGCCAGCAGCCGCGGUAAUACGUAGGGUGCGAGCGUUAAUCGGAAUUACUGGGCGUAAAGCGUGCGCAGGCGGUGCUGUAAGACAGGCGUGAAAUCCCCGGGCUCAACCUGGGAAUUGCGCUUGUGGCUGCAGUGCUGGAGUGCGGAAGAGGGGGAUGGAAUUCCGCGUGUAGCAGUGAAAUGCGUAGAUAUGCGGAGGAACACCGAUGGCGAAGGCAAUCCCCUGGGCCUGCACUGACGCUCAUGCACGAAAGCGUGGGGAGCAAACAGGAUUAGAAACCCGUGUAGUCC